ACUCAAAUGAAUAGACGGGGGCCCGCACAAGCGGUGGAGUAUGUGGUUUAAUUCGAAGCUACGCGAAGAACCUUACCAAGGUUUGACAUCCCUCUGACAGAUAUAGAGAUAUAUUUCCCUUCGGGGCAGAGGAGACAGGUGGUGCAUGGUUGUCGUCAGCUCGUGUCGUGAGAUGUUGGGUUAAGUCCCGCAACGAGCGCAACCCUUAUGUUUAGUAGCCAGCACGUAAAGGUGGGUACACUAAACAGACUGCCGUGGAUAACACGGAGGAAGGUGGGGAUGAGGUCAAAUCAUCAUGCCCCUUAUAUCUUGGGCUACACACGUACUACAAUGGCUCAUACAAAGUGAAGCAAAGCUGUGAAGCAGAGCAAAACACAAAAAAGAGUCUCAGUUCGGAUUGCAGGCUGCAACUCGCCUGCAUGAAGUCGGAAUCGCUAGUAAUCGUGAAUCAGCAUGUCACGGUGAAUACGUUCCCGGGCCUUGUACACACCGCCCGU
rnacentral:rRNA from 1 species